AUGAGUCGUCAUGAUGGCAUUAACAUCCCCGAUGUCAAGUUCUACCUUGGAGAUACUGGCUAUGCAUGUCAGCCAGGUGUUCUUCCACCCUUCGGGAAAACCAGGUACCAUCUGAACGAGUUUGCUGGUAGGAACUAUCUUAGGACUCCUCGGGAACUGUCCAAUCUCAGACAGUUCAGCCUUAGAGUGAGUGUUGAAAGGGCCUUUGGACCUCUGAAGAACAUGUCUAAGAUCCUGGAUCAGAAGCCAUUCCACCCUUACCCUACAUAGGUGAAACUUGUUCUUGCAUGUUGCAUCAUUCACAAUUGGAUCCUGCAAUGGGGAGUUUAUGAACUUGUGCUAGAGGAGGAAGAUGUGACUCCUGAUGAGGUGAUCAGUUCAAGCCAUGGUGUGAAGGCGUUCGACAACAAAGCAUGGAAUAAAAAAAGGUUGGAGUGGGCUCAGGCGAUAGGGGAUAACAGAGGUCAGACAAGGAUCUGA
rnacentral:rRNA from 1 species